UACGAACGCUAGCGGCGUGCUUAACACAUGCAAGUCGAACGGAAAGGCCCUGCUUUUGUGGGGUGCUCGAGUGGCGAACGGGUGAGUAACACGUGAGUAACCUGCCCUUGACUUUGGGAUAACUUCAGGAAACUGGGGCUAAUACCGGAUAGGAGCUCCUGCUGCAUGGUGGGGGUUGGAAAGUUUCGGCGGUUGGGGAUGGACUCGCGGCUUAUCAGCUUGUUGGUGGGGUAGUGGCUUACCAAGGCUUUGACGGGUAGCCGGCCUGAGAGGGUGACCGGCCACAUUGGGACUGAGAUACGGCCCAGUCUCCUACGGGAGGCAGCAGUGGGGAAUAUUGCACAAUGGGCGGAAGCCUGAUGCAGCAACGCCGCGUGCGGGAUGACGGCCUUCGGGUUGUAAACCGCUUUCGCCUGUGACGAAGCGUGAGUGACGGUAAUGGGUAAAGAAGCACCGGCUAACUACGUG
rnacentral:rRNA from 1 species